AAAUUACAUUUCGCUAGUUAUUAAUAUGGCUUAAACAUCUUGAAGACUAUCUUAUGUAGCAAUCUCAAAAAUCCGAUUAAAUAAUGAAUAAAAAUAUGCUCAAAGAAAUAACAAGGAAUCAAAAAAUUUUUAGCAUAAUUCAUGUAUCACAAACAACAUUAGCUAUUAGGCUAUUACUCCACCAGUCUACCUAUUACCUUUACAAAACAAAGUAUACCAAGACUUCAUAUACAGAAAUCUGGAAUCAAAACAUUUGAUAGGACCUCCCAUUCCAAAUUUUCAAGAUUAUAACAACUUCAGAUUCGGAUGUUCUUAUCAUCGUCUCCCACAGUGCCAUUCAUCUGGGAGUGAUGCUAGGAAUAACUCCACUAACAAGGUCGCUGCCAGAA
rnacentral:misc_RNA from 1 species